rnacentral:rRNA from 1 species
GACGAACGCUGGCGGCGCGCUUAACACAUGCAAGUCGAACGGAAAGGCCUGCUUUCCCUUGUGGAUUGCGGGUACUCGAGUGGCGAACGGGUGAGUAACACGUGAGUGAUCUGCCCCCAACUUGGGUAUAAGCCUGGGAAACUGGGUCUAAUUCCCGAUAGGACUGCAGGGUGGUGCCUGUGGUGGAAAACGAUUUUCUAGUGGUUGGGGAUGAGCUCGCGGCCUAUCAGCUUGUUGGUGGGGUAAUGGCCUACCAAGGCGGCGACGGGUAGCCGGCCUGGGAGGGUGGACGGCCACAUUGGGACUGAGACACGGCCCAGACUCCUACGGGAGGCAGCAGUGGGGAAUAUUGCACAAUGGGCGGAAGCCUGAUGCAGCGACGCCGCGUGGGGGAUGACGGCCUUCGGGUUGUAAACUCCUUUCGACCGCGGGGAAGCCACCUGGUUGGAAGGGUGGUGACGGUAGUGGUAGAAGAAGCACCGGCUAACUACGUG